AUUGAACGCUGGCGGCAUGCCUUACACAUGCAAGUCGAACGGCAGCACGGGAGCAAUCCUGGUGGCGAGUGGCGAACGGGUGAGUAAUAUAUCGGAACGUGCCCAGUCGUGGGGAUAACGCAGCGAAAGCUGUGCUAAUACCGCAUACGAUCUAUGGAUGAAAGCGGGGGACUCGCAAGGGCCUCGCGCGAUUGGAGCGGCCGAUAUCAGAUUAGCUAGUUGGUGAGGUAAAGGCUCACCAAGGCGACGAUCUGUAGCUGGUCUGAGAGGACGACCAGCCACACUGGAACUGAGACACGGUCCAGACUCCUACGGGAGCAGCAGUGGGGAAUUUUGGACAAUGGGCGCAAGCCUGAUCCAGCAAUGCCGCGUGCAGGAUGAAGGCCUUCGGUUGUAAACUGCUUUUGUUACGGAACGAAACGGUAGAGCUC
rnacentral:rRNA from 1 species